ACGAAACUUGACGUAACACGCCGCGUGAGUGAUGAACGGUUUCGGAUCGUAAACUCUGUUGUUAGGGAAGAACAGUGCCAUAGUAACUGAUGGCACCUUGACGGUACCUAACCAGAAAGCCACGGCUAACUACGUGCCAGCAGCCGCGGUAAUACGUAGGUGGCAAGCGUUGUCCGGAAUUAUUGGGCGUAAAGCGCUCGCAGGCGGUUCUUUAAGUCUGAUGUGAAAUCUUACGGCUCAACCGUAAACGUGCAUUGGAAACUGGGGAACUUGAGUGCAGAAGAGGAGAGUGGAAUUCCACGUGUAGCGGUGAAAUGCGUAGAGAUGUGGAGGAACACCAGUGGCGAAGGCGACUCUCUGGUCUGUAACUGACGCUGAGGAGCGAAAGCGUGGGUAGCGAACAGGAUUAGAUACCCUGGUAGUCCACGCCGUAAACGAUGAGUGCUAGGUGUUAGGGGGUUCCCGCCCCUUUAGUGCUGAAGUUACGCUUUAAGCACUCCGGCUGCGGAGUACGGCCGCAAUGGUGAAACUCAUAAAAUUUGAACGGGGGC
rnacentral:rRNA from 1 species